AUUCCAGCUCCAAUAGCGUAUAUUAAUGUUGUUGCAGUUAAAAAGCUCGUAGUUGGAUUUCUGGUUGGACCGCGAUGCCGGACUCGCAAGGGUUCGUGAUUGUUGUGGUUUCCUUCCAUCCUCAGGUUUGCGCGUGCUGGCCUUAACUGGUCGGUGGGUGUGGUCCUGUCGUUUACUGUGGACAAAUUAGAGUGUUCAAAGCAAGGUGUACUUGAAUACAUUAGCAUGGAAUAAUAAGAUAGGACUUUGGUGGUUCUUUUUGAUAUUUUGUUGGUUUGCACGCCAAAGUAAUGAUUAAUAGGAGCAGUUGGGGGUAUUCGUAUUCAAUUGUCAGAGGUGAAAUUCUUGAAUUUAUAGAAGACGAACUACUGCGAAAGCAUUUACCAAGGAUGUUUUCAUUG
rnacentral:rRNA from 1 species